UAGAUUUUAUAUUGUUGUUUUUGUUGAGAUAAGUAGAGUGUUUAAGUUAUUGUUUAGAUAUGUGUUGUUUUAUUGAAGUAAGUUGUUGUUUAUGUUAAGGUAAGUUUUGUUUUUGUUGAUAAAUGUUGUUGUUUGUGUUAUUGUAGAUUUUUUUUAUUAGGCAAGUUGAUGCUUUGUUGAGGUAUGUUGUUUUGUUAAAG
rnacentral:lncRNA from 1 species